ACACCACCCCGGAGGUCGCGCCGGCGCCCCUCACCAGGCGCUGUCGGCGCUCCGGCCGGCUCUGGGCGAGGCGGCGGUGGGAAGAGCUGACUCUGUGUCACUCCUUCCUCGGGCGCUUUCGGUCUCUGCGAGGUAGGAAAUCCUCUUCUGGACUCGAAAUUGCAACAGAUUCUCUGAUAACGUACUGUCUUCGAAGACCUGCAGCUGCUCCCGUCCUGGCUAUACGCUUGCCCCAGGAUGACACGCCGCCCACCUGCUGCCUAGAUAAAUGUUUUUGAUGCAAGCAGAACCGGAAUGAUCUGGUCAUUUACCAGAACUCACUGAAGCAAACCCUUGUGAUAACUCCAGACAGUGUACCAUCCCAGGUGGAAAGGGUAUGGGAUGGCAAACAGGUUAGCAGAGAAGCCUCAGACAGAGCGCUGGUGGAUUUAGCUGCUCUUCACCCCCUCCUGGCAGCCCUGGGCCUCCUCCUGGGCACGCCCUGCGCUAUGGACUCCCCGGGCUACAACUGCUUUGUGGACAGAGCUAAGAUGGAUGCCACUAUCCAGGACCUGGGGCCCAAGGAGCUGAGCUGCACCGAGCUGCAGGAGCUGAAGCAGCUGGCGCGCCAGGGCUACUGGGCCCACAGCUACACCCUGCGGGGGAAGGUGUACCAGCGCCUGAUCCGGGACAUCCCCUGCCGCACGGUCACACCAGAUGCCAGCGUGUACAGUGACAUCAUCGGCAAGAUCGUGGGCAAGCACAGCAGUGGCAGCCUGCCCUUGCCCGAGUUUGUGGACAACACGCAGGUGCCCAGCUACUGCCUGAAUACAAGGGGUGAGGGCGCCGUACGUAAGAUCCUGCUGUGCAUCGCCAACCAAUUCCCUGAUGUCUCCUUCUGCCCCGCGCUGCCUGCGGUCGUGGCCUUGCUGCUCCACUACAGCAUCGACGAGGCCGAGUGCUUCGAGAAGGCCUGCCGCAUCCUGGCCUGCAACGACCCCAGCAAGAAGCUAAUCGACCAGAGCUUCCUGGCCUUCGAGUCUUCCUGCAUGACGUUUGGGGACCUGGUGAACAAGUACUGCCAGGCAGCCCACAAGCUGAUGGUGGCCGUUUCAGAGGACGUCCUGCAGGUCUAUGCGGACUGGCAGCGCUGGCUGUUCGGGGAGCUGCCCCUCAACUACUUUGCUCGCGUCUUUGACGUCUUCCUGGUGGAAGGUUACAAGGUGCUGUACCGCGUGGCACUGGCAAUCCUCAAAUUCUUCCACAAGGUGAGAGCUGGGCAGCCGCUGGAAUCAGACAACGUGAAGCAGGACAUCCGCACCUUUGUCAAGGACAUUGCCAAGACUGUGUCUCCUGAGAAGCUGCUGGAGAAAGCGUUUGCUAUCCGCCUCUUUUCUCGGAAGGAGAUUCAGCUCCUGCAGAUGGCCAAUGAGAAAGCUCUGAAGCAGAAGGGCAUCACCGUCAAGCAGAAGAGUGUUUCACUUUCCAAAAGACAGUUUGUGCACCUGGCUGUUCACGCAGAGAACUUCCACUCAGAGAUCGUCGGUGUGAAGGAGAUGAGAGACAUCUGGUCAUGGGUCCCUGAGCGGUUCGCCCUCUGCCAGCCCCUCCUGCUCUUCUCUUCGCUGCAGCACGGGUACAGCCUGACCAGGUUCUAUUUCCAGUGUGAAGGACACGAGCCCACCCUCCUGCUCAUCAAGACCACACAAAAGGAGGUGUGUGGAGCUUACCUGUCAACAGACUGGAGUGAGAGAAACAAGUUUGGAGGCAAGCUGGGCUUCUUUGGGACCGGAGAAUGCUUCGUGUUUAGGCUGCAGCCCGAGGUCCAGCGCUAUGAGUGGGUGGUCAUCAAACACCCGGAGCUGACCAAGCCUGUGUCCUUGGAGUCUACCACCAUUCUGUCUUCGCCCUGCCACUCUGUGUCCUCAGACCCUGCUGACCGCCUCUCGCCAUUCCUGGCUGCUCGACACUUCAAUCUGCCCUCCAAGACGGAGUCCUUGUUCAUGGCUGGGGGCAAUGACUGCCUCAUCAUAGGUGGAGGGGGAGGCCAGGCACUCUACAUCGAUGGGGACCUGAACCGGGGCCGCACGGGCCACUGCGACACUUUCAACAACCAGCCCCUCUGCUCUGAGAACUUCCUCAUCGCUGCCGUGGAGGCCUGGGGCUUCCAAGACCCUGACACCCAGUGACAGGUGUGAGCUAACGAGCCUGAUGCUUCUGCUGGGCUUCAGUGUAUAGUCACGCCUAAAGAGGUCGCCCAGGGAGGGGCCCUCUGUGACUGACCCCAAACCAGCCAACAUUUCCAGGGGCCUGCCUGGAGAAGCCUGGACCCCUGGAACCUUUUUCAGCCCUCCUCCUCUCCAGCUCGGGCCCUCCUUAGCUCCACUGCAGUCCUUGCGGCGGCCCCAUUUUGCUGCAGUGACGUGGCCCAGGAUCCUGUCCAGACCCUUCAGCACGGUGUGCUGGCCUCGUCCAGCCCUACCCACCUCACCUUCAUUGUGCUCCACACACCCUCCCCAGCUCCCUGCCCCCGAGACACCUUCCUGACGCACCCCUCUGCAUGGCACGAGUUCUCCCUCUGUGUCUCUCAGGGCUGUGUGAGCCCUGCAGGGAGUGGCCCUCCCACCCCAUGACCUCCCUCAGCUGGUCCUGAGGCCCUGGGCACACCCCUAAGGAAAGAGAGGACAAGCGGACACCCAAGGGGCUGUGCCGAGGCCAUGACAGCCUGGGCCACAGUUGCCAGGGGGUCCUGCCUCUCCAUGUCCCCACAUGCCACGCCUCUGUCCUCCACAUCUUGCUUGCUCUUCCUGUGGGGUACUCAUCCUCCCCUCCCCACCUACUCAGAUCCCCCCUGAGCCAGGCCGAAGUGAUACAGAAGGAAGGACUGGGAACCCUGUGUGGCUUUGGGCAAGCUGGUGAACCUUUCUGGAACUCAGUUUCCCCAGCUGUAAAAUGAGGCUAGUCAUCCUGCUGUGCUGUCCCCACAGGACUGCUGAGAGGCCCUGAGGGGCCAGUGUGAAUCCCUGUAAAAGGGAGAGGUGUUGGGAGGUGGUGUCACAGCUUACCCCCACACCAGACCCUGCAGCCCUCGCUGCCCCCUAUCCUCGAGCCCCCACAGCCCUCACCUGUACAUUGGUGUUCAUUAAACACGGUCUCGUUACAUGAACUCCAGGGAUCCCGAGUCUGGUUUCUUCAAUUAGGGGGACCUCCCGGGGCUACCCGCCCCUGGGCAUGCCACCGAACGGGGUGCAGCCUCCUGCUUGUCAGUGUUCUAUCAUGGGAACGUUGAAGGCCUUUUAAAAGCACAACCUUUCAGAAGCAGCUGAAGGGAUACCUGAGCGCUAUUUGCAUGGCCCCCUCUGCAAACUUCCUGAACUGGGGUGUUCUUUUUCUGGUAAGUCCAGAGGAUUCUCUGUGGCUGCCCCAAGGGCCCCAAGAGGUCUGGCCCAGGGAGGGUGACUGCUGAUUAGUCACGAUUUCUGUAUCAUGAGGUCUUCAUGUGUGCAUGCAAAAUAUUCAGUUUCUUUGAAUUUCACAUCUCCCAAACUUUUCUGCUAAACUAAAAGGUAUGUGGUUAUUAUCUUUUUUAUUCUUAUUAUUGUCCUUGUUAUCUGAUAUUAGGUGUUAAUAUUCUCUAUUAUUUCUUCCUGAUUAUUACUAGCAUUUUAUGUUAGAAAUUAGCCAAAGUUUUAUGGAUUUGCAUAAUGAAUUAUUUGUUUUUCUAGAAACAUUUAAAAAUUUAUUUUAAAAACAAAAAAUUAGGGACUUCCUUGGGGGCACAGUGGUUCAGAAUCCACCUGCCAAUGCAGGAGACACGGGUUCAAUCCCUGGUCCAGGAAGAUCCCACAUGCCGUGGAGCAACUAAGCCCAUGCGCCACAACUACUGAGCCUGUGCUAUAGAGCUGCAAGCCACAACUACUGAGCCCACGAACCACAACUACUGAAGCCUGUGUACCUAGAGCCUGUACUCCGCAACAAGAGAAGCCACCACAGUGAGAAGCCCGCGCACUGCAACGAAGAGUAGCCCCCGCUCACUGCAACUGCAGAAAGCCCACGUGCAGCAGCGAAGAUCCAACGCAGCCAAAAAUUAAUUAAUUUUUUUAAAUUUUAAAAAUGAAAAAAAAUUGAACAUAGAUUAAACCAGUUCAUUAUCAAAGUGGACUGUAUGCAUUCAAGGCUUUAGAAAAUCAGUUUUUCAGAAAUAAUUUGUAAUACAAGAGUAAGUCAUUUGUAUUUUAUGAGUUUUUCAGUUUACUGAAUUAAAAUAAGUAUUUUAAUUUUUCCUAUUUUUAUAAGUUCCAUGCUUAUUAUUUUUUCAGGUUUUCAGGGCAACUUGUUUUAGAAAAUUCUGAAGAUUCCACAAGGCCUUCAAAUUUCUUUUAUCUAUUUCCUGAAGCCACAGAGCCUUUAUAAUAGUCUCCUUACAUACUUUAUGUUUAGUAGAUUCAGUUUUUGUCACUUUGUUUUGAAAUAAUUUUAGAUUUACAGAAGAGUUUCACGGAUGGUAUAGAGCUCCCACAACCCCUCCCCACCCUCCCCCGGUGUUAAUAGUGCAUGUUUAUCAAACCUAAGAAAUGACCAUUAGUACGAUGCUGGAAACUUAAACUACAGUCUGUAUUCAGAUUCCCUCAGUUUUUCUAUAGUCGUUUUUGUUCCAGGAAUAGAUUUCAUUUUUAUAACUGUUUACGUCCCCACAUUUUAAUUACAUCCUGAAUGUCAUUAAGUUCACGUGACUAACACCGGUCAAAAUAAAUUGCCAUAAUUAGACCAUACAGCGACUGCGUCAAAUAUGUAUUCCUAUAUCUCAACAGUCCUCCUCCAACUGUCGUGUUUGCACAGAGAAGUCGCCAAAUGAGGCAGGAGUGCCAGGAACACCUUGCAGGAUGGUUAUUGGCUGAAAAACGGAUUACUGGACUGACACUUUGGAGCAUUUAAAUGAAUGUUAAAAAAAAAUUUUGAG